rnacentral:tRNA from 1 species
GGGACUGUAGCUCAGACUGGGAGAGCACAACGCUGAAGCAGUCUAUCCUUACUAUCAGAAAGACUUCUGAUACGUUGGGGUCAUGGGUUCAAAUCCCAUCGGUCCCA